rnacentral:rRNA from 1 species
CAUUCACGGAGAGUUUGAUCCUGGCUCAGGACGAACGCUGGCGGCGUGCUUAACACAUGCAAGUCGAACGAUGAAGCCCUUCGGGGUGGAUUAGUGGCGAACGGGUGAGUAACACGUGGGCAAUCUGCCCUUCACUCUGGGACAAGCCCUGGAAACGGGGUCUAAUACCGGAUAACAC